UUCAAUUUGAAACAAUGCACAGAAGUGGUUGCAACGACUUGCAAUGAAUAAUAGAUAAGUCCGAGCCCUAGAACAUGAAAAUCAAUGGUUUCUGAGGGAAACUGCCAGGUGCGUCAGGCGAAUGGAACUGAAAUCGAUAGGAAAAGUUCUUCGAACUACCCGUUUCUUUCUCUACCCACGAAUGUAAGUAAAACCAUAACGACAAAGGAAAAUAUUCUGCAAUUAACUACGGGUUGCUCGACCCAGGAGCUGACGUGCUCAAGAGAAGACGUGCAAAUUUGUUCAAUGCAGUUCUGAGAUCGAGGGUGGACACAUAACAUGAGAAGUAUUAGAACUUGACUUCUAAUUAUUACGUUUAAUUAUCGCGACAGGGUUCUGUGCCAAUUCUCACGUGAUAAGACGUCUGUCCUCGAGGAAGUUGCGUCGUUCUCUAACAAAGAAGGAGAUUUCUAGCUACCUCACCACGAUUUGCUCAAUAACUUCUGUGAACUACUGUGACAACGUUUGGGCAAUUAUUGUCCAACCGUUACCAACAGCUCUUCAGAAUAUGGACAAAAUAACAGUUCGGAAUUUAUAGCUCGGAGCCAAAUCUAUCCAGCAACUGACGUCUAGGUUCAUCAUAAGGAGAAAAAGCCACAUGCUUGCGUGGCAAAUAAUCCACGUCAUUUGCAUUUCAAUAAGUCGUUCGUAUUUCAAAAAAAAUAAAAUUAACUGUUGACAUGAACUGGAAUCUUACCGAGGUCGCGAAAUCCACAAUUCUCAAUUAAUUCGGAACAAUCUCUUGAAGUGCUCGCCAUAAUCGCAAAAAAAACACGACAAUAACACAAUUAACAAUCGACAAAAUGACUAAAACACUGAAUUCUCCACUGAUAGCAGAGUAACGCGGAAAAAUCAGAGAAUCACGUGAUAAGGUGCACUUGGAUCAUUCUUCGUGAAUGAAUAAAAAAUGAAGUGACUAUGUGGGUGUGGGGUGGAUCAUUGGCGAGUGUGCCGGUCGUUUCGUCGUGGUAAUACAGCGAAGACCGUGAAGUAGUGGGAGAAUUUCCGAUACGUUGGAAUCAAAAGAAAGUAGAAUGAAAACCACGAGUUUAAAACGCCUUAUCUCUUCUUCCGGAGUGGCUUGACUGGAUUCACGAGGAAUUCCAGACUUCGCAAAUUCAACGCACUUGCUAUUCGAACAAUAAAAAGAGAGCAAAUCAAGGAUUUUACAGCAAAAACGUAAGUAAAAAUCCCACACACUUUGUAGAAAGAUUUUUCAGACCCAGAAUAAACAAAUGUCUGGCUCUCAACAAUGAAUUUAAAUGGCCAGACAUUUGUUUAUGUGAAUUUCCGGCAAAUUUUGAUUUUAUUGAAUGUUUUUUAGUGCUCGAAAAAUAUUUACGAAAGUCAUGUGAAAUUCAAACAUUUAUUUCAGCUGUGUUGUUAAAAAUAACAUCACUGCACAAUACUCCAAUGGAUUAUGCAAUAUUCAUUCUCUUUUCCUCCGAAUCUAUGCAAGAAAUUCCUAUAAUUUUGAGAAAUCAAUUGCCAAUGAUCGAUUUGACUUCCCUGUUUUUUUUGAAAGAUUCAAAAUUUUGUAAAGUGUUAAUAUAUCAAUCCAACUGCCUCACACAACUAGGGACACUGAAAAUCCCAAAAAUAAAUUGAGAAUUGGAGCGCAAAAAGCGCAGACACUUUCAACAUAAACAACUUAUUAAAAUCCCAUCUCUUAAAAUUUCUACAAAUAAAAAACCCAAACAAGUCACUGAAAAAAAAAGUAGCCCACAUGAAUCCCCGGGACUGGAAGAAAUUAAACAACUCCGUCUUUCCAGUCCGAGAGCAAAAAUUCUGUUCUAUUUUUCUUCAGAUGCUAGAAGACGUCAGCACAAGUCUAAACGAAAAAUUAAUUAAGGUCAAUCACUGGCAAUUGAUCUCACAAAAUUGAUCGCAAUGGAACGAAAAAAUCUUUAAACCGUCGAAGACUGAACCAAAAACGAUGAACAGAGUGAUACCAAAUGUUGACAGUAGAAAAAGAUGUCUGACAAGACUCCGCGAAAGAUAUACACUAACCUCUGCCUCUGAAGGGGCUUAGAAACCAAAAAGCGCGUUCACAUUUGUAUUUCAACGUUAACACAAAGUCUCACUAUCUCUCUCUCACACUCUCAUCUCAUUUAUGUUGCUUCAUUGUGUAAGUUGUGCAGUCAAAGAUGAAUCAGCGUGUUGGGGUAAUAUAUAUCGAGAAUGGCUAGGAGUACUACUUCUGUCUUUAUCGCAUCCACGAAACUGAGUUAACAUUUCACCUACAUACUAAAAAUAAACCAACGUAGUGGUGUAUAGAUAUGAAUUUCGAAAAAAAAAUGUAUCGUUUCCCAAUGGACCAGGACACAAUAAACACACGAUUGAUCCUCUUCCCCUGGAAUCUAAUCAAUCACUUAUUUUCUCUCUGAAGAUCCCCCUCCUCCCUCAUCCCUCCUCCGUUCGUUGUAAAGAAUAAAAAAUUGUAAAUAUGUCUGGACAUUCCUCGAUUAACCGAUAAAUAUUCAGUAAGCGGCGACUGUAUAAUUUGAUAACAUCACUGUGCAUUAAUACAGGCCGUGCCCAAAUGACCACAUGGAUAUCUAAAAAUACUUAUUAAUUGCAUCGAGCGCAUUGUUAUCGUCUGAUGUUGUCGGGAACGUUCGAAUAUUAACGGCUAGAGGCACGUGGGUGCGGAGGCCGUGAAUGAUCGGUUUCUACGACUCGUAUAUGGACACGAACCUCGGGGAAAUUUAACGUCAAGGAUUGGUGGAUUUACCCACCCACGAAAUCACGAAUAAAUGUCAGAAAACAUCAUCAACUGGCCCUUCCUUCCUAUAUGUCAGCAACCGCAACUCAUCACAUUUCAAAAUUCCUUCAUUUUCCCGCCCCGCAAAAAUUCUGGAAAAAAUCCUGUGUCUGUAUAUUCCACUGGACUUACUUUUACCGAAUUAAUAGAAGUUCAGAUUUCUUCAAUAGAUCGAAAUCGUAUUGAUGAAAUGAUUAUAACAUCUCCGUCAUAAAUGAGACUCACCCGUCAUCAUCAUCAUGUUCAGUAGCUGAUCGAUAAAUUCCUGGCGCUUUAAUUAUUUUUUAACAAUAAAUUAAAGCACGUUAGAAACGAUAUUCGUAUAACACUGGAAGAUUCAUUGAAAUUCACCACAAGUUAAAUGGAUGAUGGUAGCGAUAAAUUAAAUGAAUCGUUAGUGAAGUGCAACCGAUUCGAAUGAAUCCAAAAGACUGUGGUAUGCUUAUGUAGGUUUCUCAUGUAGAAGUUCCAGCAGUGACGUCAGAUAUUUCCAAUCAUGGGAUUACGCGGGCGUUUGAAAUCAUUGUGGGACGAUUUCGAUACAGAAAUACCAGUAACAUGAAAGUGAAAUAAUAUUUUUUUUAUAUUUUGGGGAGGGAAAAGAGUCACGCCCUCUGCAGAUGAUACGUGCGAAUAUUAACUGCAGCUGAUAAAAUAGAUUUUAAUUUUCAUUUGGCAGACAGCAUCUGCGAUAAUAAUUUAGCGUGGGCUAUGAGGGUUCAAUGUUCUCUACCAUCAACAUUACGAACCCGUUUACUUCGUCUUGUCUGUCAAGCAUUCCACUAAUGACCAACGAUCUAUUUUGGUUUGACAGUGAAUUUCGAGUUCAAAUGAAAACUGACUAUUUACUACUAGAAAGGUUUAACGAUUAUUGAAAGCAUCGCAAAUAUUCCAUUCCCGGAUUAUAUAAUUUAUUAAUGAUGUAUUUACUCAAUUACUUUUUCCGAGUGCUAAUACAUGUGAAGCAUUAAUUAAAAAAAAAUUACACGACUCUACGUGAACCUCAAUGGCUGCAUUAUUCGUUGCAAACGUAUUAACAUGUGUUGCAAGGUUAUCCUGAUUACAGAACCAAUUUAAUUACAUAACUUGGGGAGAAAGAGAUGAUUAACCAGUCAGUAACGUAUCUCAAUUAGAGAAUAUAAUUCAACGAAUUAUUAAAGGGACAGUGGAACGUCAUGGAGUCCUCGUGUUACUGAAUUAUUAUUAAAUCUCAUUACCAGGCGAGACCAUGCCAAAUCAUCGAGACACUCUGCCUGUGUUGCAUUUUCUUGACUUGCAAAUGGUAUCACGGAAUAUUAAAUUCACUGGUUUCUAAAAUUAAGGACGAAAUUAAUAAUGAAUGAACAUCUGAUAAAUUUAACUUUUAUAUAAAAUAUCUAAACUUGUGGAAUGGUUGGAGAUCUACCAAAUUCAUAUUGUAAAUAAAUAUAUUUAUUUGUGUUUAUUCAUAUUUUAAAUCUAAUCACGUCUCCGCUGGGAAGACAAACUUGUACGUGGGGAAAGGUGAUCUGUUUCCCAAGGCUCGGGUGUGAAAUGCACUAUUAAAUACCUCACAAAUGAAUAAAAUAAAACACUCACAGCCAGGAGCUUCCGCUUUUUUAGAGGUAAUCCUAUAUGGUAUGUACGUGGCUCCGCGAUGAACUUUUCCAUACAUUGUUCUAUCCAUCGUGACAACAAUUAAUUAAUCCCCAACAAUUCUUGUUAAAUAGAAUUUUCCCAUUCACUAAAUUACCAAAAUAACGAAUUUAUUAUUUAUCACUUUGGCGAUCCCGAAAAUGUCUUCUAAAAGUGAGAGAAAAUAGUUCAGUAAUUUAUCAUCAUUUUACGUCAUAUUGUUGUUGUAUUAACGUCCAUGAAAGAGCUUUUUUUAACCCUCCGGCUUAGGAGAAUUAACGAACAGACACUUGUUGCCUACGACCACGAGGUCUCGACGAUUUCUUUGAACAAUUUCCCACGAACACGAUGAAUUCACAUAUUAACCCGGUGAGAUUUGGAGCAUUCUAAACGUUACGAGUGAACAACAAGUCAUACGAAAGCAACUACCGACGCUUUGACCCGACAAAAUGAAACGUUUACACACACGCCUACAGCAUCCAACAAUGUUCAGUUUCAAGAGGACUGUCGUGGAAGUCUGAGUGUCGGGAUUUUACGGUUAAAAAUAAAUACUGAGAGCCUGACGAAAUACUACCGGAUUAUCUCAUCUCAAAAGUCUUGUUGCUUUUCAUUGUUCAACUUUUUAGUUGAGUGUCAUUAACCUGGCUCCAGUGCUUUCCCUAUUUCCAAAGGGUUUGUGCCACUGUUCGUGCCGUUUCAAUUGAUUAAUCAGUUGACUUGGAUUUCACCUGCUUCUAAUUAGUGCUUGCUACAUGCCAAUAUCACAGUUCCGGAACUCAGAUUUUUUUAUUGGUAACAAAAUGCAUCCCUUUGCCCAAUGGACCGGGAAUUAUGGUAAAGGUCAGGCUCUGACAGAACCCUGGACCCGUAGAUAUGUCCACCACUCUCCCUUCCCAUCUGUGAAGGUCACGAAACGAUAACCAUGAAGAGUAGGCAUUUGUCCGCAAAAGUAGAAACUUCCGAUAAUACAUUCUCUGAUAAUAAAUGUCAGCAAGAUCUAAAAUUAGCCCUGACUCACUCACACUGCCAUGGAGACCCACAAUAGAACGUGAAAAAUCCAAAUCUUUUAAAUUUCCCGGGGUUUGUGUAAAUUGACAACAGAAUAAACAACAAAAAAUCAACAAUCAUUUUCCCUUGCGAAAAACAAUAACAUGUCCAGAGAAAAAAAUCAUAUAAAUUCUGCCUCUCCUGGAAGACCAAUAAACUACGAUGAGUAAUGAGGAUAAAAUCAAUCCUUGAAAUUUUAUUUGGGAGAUAAUUUGAGGUUAUAAAGUGACUUAGAAUUCUAAGUGUGUAUUUACUCACCCAAAUCAUCCAUUUUACUUCGAUAAAUGGUUGUCCCUCCGUCUCAAUGAACAAAUGUCACAGUGAUUCACUUUUCCGGAGUCUAUAGGCACAAGAGGAACGAAAGAACGAGAAAUAAAAUCUCCACUGCUGACUCUGAGUUGUCUGGGAGGGACUGAAGAAAACAAACAUGGUGGAUCCGGUUCCAAGGAUUCUCUACAUAAAUUAAAAGAUUUUUCUCGUUUAGUCUUAUCUGAUUAUCGCUCCAAUCCGGCUACGUCCGACUAAUUAGCCAAUUAAGUGUUUCCGGCUGCAAAAUAAUAUUAAAAAAAUUUGAACUACAUUUUUUGUCAGUUUGUUCAAUUUCUAGUGAACUGAGGAGGAAAAAUGGUUGCAAGAGCAAGUUGUGUUACGAGAGAAGAGGGAGAGGAAUGACUGAAUAAAAACGUCUAUUAUCAUAAAUAUGAUUCAUUUAUUCACAGAAAAUUAAUUUUGAUGGUGUAACACUCGGAAAUGGGAGUUUCCUCUGAUUCACCAACUAGAAAAGUUGUCCAGCACUUGAGAACCUCCUUUUCUCUUCUUCUUUAAAGGCCCCUCCACCUUUGAGGACCUGAAAAAUUCAAGAUUUAUUGGAAUUGGCAAUGAUAAUAAUUCUCUAUGUAACAAUGUACUUCUUGGUCGAAUGAAUAAAUAAAGAAAUGAAAGUGAAAAAUCAUGAUACUCACUCUAAACUGGAUCCUGGCUGGAGAUAUUUUGCUACCCCAGACCUGUAAGCUUUUAGAACACCGUCAUCAUCGGCUUUUCUCCCGGAUUUCAAUCGCUCAGCCUCUUUCGCAGCUCUCUCCAGCUCCUCAGCUCUCUCGGCAGCUAGGAGCUCAUCUGCUUCUUGAAAUGGAUCCACAAAUAUCUGAGCUGUUUGCAGAAUAAUAUCUUCAAUAGGUCUGUCCUUGUUGUCCACUUCGAUCUUCUCCAUUGCAUUCAGAGUCUCCAUUCCACCUACGAUUUUCCCGAAAAUCGUGUGUUUACGAUCUAGGUGACGACAGGAUCGAAAUGUAAUAAAACUGAAAGCAAAUGGAUAAAUAUAUUUUUGAUAUCGAAUGAAUUGUCUCAAGUAUUCACUGCCUAUUGAAAAAUAAAUAAAUGCUUACAACUGAGAGCCAUUAGUAUUCGGGCCAGAAUUGGCCAUUGAAAGUACGCCCCGACCCUGAUGCACUAAAUUCGGCUUGAAUUCAUCAGCAAAAGGUUUCCCCCAAAUCGAUUGACCUCCAUUUCCCGUAUUCGUGGGAUCUCCUCCUUGAAUC